AGUGAACGCUGGCGGUAGGCCUAACACAUGCAAGUCGAACGGCAGCACAGGAGAGCUUGCUCUCUGGGUGGCGAGUGGCGGACGGGUGAGGAAUACAUCGGAAUCUACUCCGUCGUGGGGGAUAACGUAGGGAAACUUACUCUAAUACCGCAUACGACCUACGGGUGAACGCAGGGGAUCUUCGGACCUUGCGCGAUUGAAUGAGCCGAUGUCGUAUUAGCUAGUUGGCGGUGUAAAGGCCCACUAAGUCGACGAUACGUAGCUCGUCUGAGAGGAUGAUCAGCUACACUGGAAGUGAGACACGGUCCAGACUGCUACGGGAGGCAGCAGUGGGGAAUAUUGGACAAUGGGCGCAAGCCUGAUCCAGACAUACCGCGUGGGUGAAGAAGGCCUUCGGGUUGUAAAGCCCUUUUGUUGGGAAAGAAAUCCAGCUGGCUAAUACCCGGUUGGGAUGACGGUACCCAAAGAAUAAGCACCGGCUAACUUCGUGCCAGCCGCCGCCGUAA
rnacentral:rRNA from 1 species